rnacentral:rRNA from 2 species
UAAGGAAUAUUGGUCAAUGGACGAAAGUCUGAACCAGCCAUGCCGCGUGGAGGAUGAAGGUCCUCUGGAUUGUAAACUUCUUUUAUAUGGGACGAAAAAAGGCCUUUCUAGGUCGUCUGACGGUACCAUAUGAAUAAGCACCGGCUAACUCCGUGCCAGCAGCCGCGGUAAUACGGAGGGUGCAAGCGUUAUCCGGAUUCACUGGGUUUAAAGGGUGCGUAGGUGGGUUGGUAAGUCAGUGGUGAAAUCCCCGAGCUUAACUUGGGAACUGCCAUUGAUACUAUCAGUCUUGAAUACCGUGGAGGUCAGCGGAAUAUGUCAUGUAGCGGUGAAAUGCUUAGAUAUGACAUAGAACACCAAUUGCGAAGGCAGCUGGCUACCCGAAUAUUGACACUGAGGCACGAAAGCGUGGGGAUCAAACAGG